AACAAAAUUGAGUUUUAAUAGCAUAUUCUUACAGCGUUCUUUAAAAAAUGCUAUAAUAGACUUUCAUCUUUACAUCAAGAUAGCGUGCAAAACACUGUAGGGGAGCAGAAGACUUUCGACAGCGUUCCACUGUCUCAAUUAUAGCGUUCACCCAAUAAAAAAGGCGCCAUUCUCAAUUGGGGGAAAUUUUAAGACGGCAAAAAAAUUCCUGGGAAAUCCCUUCUCUCUCUACAAUUUCUACCUACUCGAUCUCCGCCGAUCUCUCUCUCUCUCUCUCUCUCUCUCUCUCUCUCUCUCUCACACGCACACAGAGAAACACACACGAAGAGACACGAAGAGAGGAGAGCAAAGGAAUGGCGUGAUUCAAAGCUAGUGCCUUCACCAAUCGAGCACCAGUAGUACCACCGCCGGGCCUCGAUCCAUUCAUCUCCAAGCUCUAUCGCUUGUCUGCCCUCAACCACAACUCGACAAAAUGCCCAAAGGGAGAAAAUUGUGGCUACAACCAGGUUUUCUAGCAAAUCAAGUCAUGCCAGAUUAUUAGAGAAAGAAAUGAGAGAAUAAAGAGGAACAAUGAGAUUGAAUUCUUUUGGGGUGAAGGGUAUCGCAAAUUCUUUGCGGUGUUCGAUUCAGCACGCUCAAAUGAGAAUGGAAAGUGUAGAGGGAGUUGGAUGAUGAUGACUAUAGACCUACAGAUGAGAAUGGAAAGUGUAGAGGGAGUUGGAUGAUUGUUGGAGUACCAUUGAGUCCAAGAUUUUACUCUGAAUGAUGAGGGAGUAAGAGGAAUAAUCAAGCACAAUACACUUAAGUCAAUCGGGGAAAAGUUGUGACAAUGGAGAUCUAGUCAUGUAGCUUAAAAACAAAAUAUUAUGAUGAGCAGCUGCACAAUUUAUUGCAACAGCACCUGCGACCAUUAAUUAGGAGUGAUAUGCUGAUCUUGUUAAUUAUUGGUAUUCAGAUGAUGGACAAGUAUGUAAAAUAUAAUAACUAUAUACUUGAGCUAGAAAGAAAAUUAUAUACUUUAGCUAGAAGAUAAGGUGCAGUCUCAACUCUCAAGAACAGUAGUUGAAUUCCACAGUUAGUGAACUGAACACUGUAAAAUCAUUUGUUGACUUCUUGAUUAGGCAAUGUGGUUUUCAGGCUAUGAUUAUAACUUUAUGCUUACUUGUGAUGUAAAGACAAGUUAAAUUUAUAUGUGCUUGCAUGGUUUAUGUUCUCAUAUCAAUUCUUCCCUCAAUUACUUUGGCUCAAGAUGUUGCUAGUGGCAUCCCAAAUCAAGUUUCUCCCCAGGCAAAUCAAGGAGCAUCUUUUGCAAGUCAUGAAAUAGAAGCUUUUUUAGGUAACAAUUUCUCUCUGUGUGUGUGUGUGUGUGUGUGUGUGUGGAUUGCAUAAAGAUUUCAGAUGUAAAAGAGAUUUGAUGUACUUGAAGGUUUAUUUAGUCAUGUACUUGAAGGUUUCAGCUGUUGGAUUGCAUAGAGAUUUAGCUGUUGGCGUUCUUGAUGAAAUGCCAUGUGUCCUUUAAAUGUUAGUGAGAAUGCCACGUAGCUGUAGUUUUUAAUUAUUCCUUAAUUUGCUUCUUGAGCCACUCUUCUUCAUUUAUUAUUCUAUUGCCAAUGUUAUUCCCCUCCUCCAGACAUCUAUGUAGCCUUUCUUCUAAGCUCACAUUCUUUCUCCAUGGAUAGUAAGUAUACAUUUAUGAGCUGGGGUACAGAGUUUAGCUGGCUGUAUAUAAAUGCUCACAUUCUUCCAGAUUGCCUGCCACUUUUUCUCCAUUUCUUGGCAGUUAUAUCCCAAUACGGUUCACUUUCUUCAUCAAAGGCUCAUUAUAUAUUAGGUGUCUGUGAAGAUGAUGUGGUUACUUCUUUUCUUUUGUUCUGCUCCCUCAAUGUUCUGGUAAUGUGCGCGUGUGUUGGAUAUUAAUUGCUUAGUUUGGUUGAUGGUUCUAAUGUAUUUGAUAGUGAACUGAAGUAAUUUGGUUGAUACUUGUAAGGACUUUUGGCAGUCAUAUCAUUGUAUCACUGGCAUAUGUGUCAACGACUAUUGAUUGGCGUAAGUUCAUAAUUAUAUAGCAAGCAUAAUGGCUUGCUACUGCGAUUCUUGUCUGCCCAGAUUGUUAGGUUAUUUGUAACUUGUUGAUGUACAUUGCCAUGUUUUGGAUUAUAAAGGUUCAUAGGCAAACAGAAGAAACUAACUAAGCCCGUGCCUUGCCUAGGAAAAAACCUUAUCGUACCUUUCAGCUUGUGCACUUGAAAAUCUAGGUUUUCUUUUUGAUUUGGUAUCGUCCGUUCCACAAUGAUAGGCAUUUUCUUCUUGAAAAUCUAGGUUUUCUUAGAGGAACUUUCAUUAUGAGGAAAUUUUAUUUUAGCUUCUAUGUUCCAAGUGUUAAACCAUCUAA